rnacentral:rRNA from 1 species
UACGUAGGGGGCAAGCGUUGUCCGGAUUUAUUGGGCGUAAAGAGCGUGUAGGCGGCCUGACAAGUCUGCUGUGAAAACUCGAGGCUCAACCUCGAGAUGUCGGCGGAAACUGUCUGACUAGAGUCCGGAAGAGGAGAGUGGAAUUCCUGGUGUAGCGGUGAAAUGCGCAGAUAUCAGGAAGAACACCUAUGGCGAAGGCAGCUCUCUGGGACGGUACUGACGCUGAGACGCGAAAGCGUGGGGAGCGAACAGG